AGGACGAACGCUGGCGGCGUGCCUAAAACAUGCAAGUCGGACGAACUAGCAAUAGUUAGUGGCGAACGGCGGAGUAAUACAUAAGUAACGUGCCCCAAUGUCCGGGACAAACGCAGAAAUGCUAUAAAUACCGGAUGUGGCCGAGGAGAGGCAUCUCUCUUCGAUUAAACGGUUUUCGCUCUGGGAGCGGCUUAUGACACAUCAGGUAGUUGGUGGGUAACGCCUACCAAGCCGAGACGUGUAGGGGUCUGAGAGGAUGACUCCCCGAGUGGACUGAGACACGGCCACACACUACGGUGGCAGCAGUUGGAAUCUGCAC
rnacentral:rRNA from 1 species